rnacentral:rRNA from 1 species
GAUGAACGCUAGCUACAGGCUUAACACAUGCAAGUCGAGGGGUAACGAGAGGAAAGCUUGCUUUCCUUGUCGACGACCGGCGCACGGGUGAGUAACGCGUAUCCAACCUGCCUCCAACUAGGGAAUAACCUUGCGAAAGUAAGACUAAUACCCUAUAAUUUCCUCAGAUGACAUCUGACGAGGAAUAAAGAUUUAUCGGUUGUGGAUGGGGAUGCGUCUGAUUAGCUUGUUGGCGGGGUAACGGCCCAACAAGGCAACGAUCAGUAGGGGUGCUGAGAUGAAGGUCCCCCACAUUGGAACUGAGACACGGUCCAAACUCCUACGGGAGGCAGCAGUGAGGAAUAUUGGUCAAUGGGCGGAAGCCUGAACCAGCCAAGUAGCGUGCAGGAUGACGGCCCUAUGGGUUGUAAACUGCUUUUAUACAGGAAUAAAGUUAGCCACGUGUGGUUAUUUGUAGGUACUGUAUGAAUAAGGACCGGCUAAUUCCGUGCCAGCCGCCGCCGUAA